rnacentral:misc_RNA from 1 species
UAUCGUCGACGCUGAUAUUUUAUUAAGACUCGUCUUUCCUCGUUGCUUAUUGGAGCCCAAAAAGGGCUCCUUAAUUCGGAGCGAGGCUGGCGAGCGCAAUGUGGCAAAGCGGCGGCAUUGGCGCCCAUGCGGCGAACAAUCCGUGGAUGAAAUUGAUGGGCAUCGUCCACAAGGAAAGGAGACACCACGAUUCGGGUUCAGUUGCCGCCGCUGCAUCCGGGGUUCAGGGAUCGGCUACCACUGGGAGCAACGAUCGCACCCUCAAUCAAUCGCUGCCGAAACUCAGCAGCCAGGACGAGGAUGGGCCGAACCCUCACACCCAAUACACAGGCGUCACGCACUUCGAGCCCAUACCGCACGAUCAUGACUUUUGUGAGAGGGUCGUCAUCAACGUGAGUGGAUUACGGUUUGAGACACAACUACGCACGCUAAACCAAUUCCCGGACACGCUGCUUGGCGAUCCGGCAAGGCGGCUUCGAUAUUUCGAUCCGCUUCGCAACGAAUAUUUCUUCGACCGGAACCGGCCUUCCUUCGAUGCGAUACUUUAUUAUUAUCAAAGUGGUGGUCGACUUCGCCGGCCAGUCAACGUUCCCCUCGAUGUGUUCUCCGAGGAAAUCAAAUUUUACGAAUUGGGCGAACUUGCCACCAACAAAUUCAGGGAGGACGAGGGCUUCAUUAAAGAAGAGGAGAAGCCGCUGCCGUCGCACGAGUUCCAGAAGAAGGUCUGGUUGUUGUUCGAGUACCCGGAGAGCUCGCAGGGAGCCCGGGUUGUCGCCAUAAUAUCCGUGUUCGUGAUUCUUCUCUCGAUCGUAAUCUUCUGCCUAGAGACCCUGCCAGAAUUUAAGCAUUAUAAGGUCUUUAACACGACGACGAACGGCACGAAGAUCGAGGAGGACGAAGUGCCGGACAUAACGGACCCAUUCUUCCUAAUAGAGACUAUUUGUAUCAUCUGGUUCACGUUCGAGUUGUCCGUGCGCUUCCUCGCCUGCCCAAAUAAAUUUAACUUCUUCCGUGACGUAAUGAACAUCAUCGACAUCAUCGCGAUCAUUCCUUACUUCAUCACCCUCGCCACAGUAGUGGCCGAGGAAGAAGACACACUUAAUCUACCAAAGGCACCGGUUAGCCCUCAGGACAAGAGCACGAAUCAAGCAAUGUCCCUGGCGAUUUUACGAGUCAUCAGGCUCGUCAGGGUGUUCCGGAUAUUCAAGCUGUCCAGGCACAGUAAAGGCCUCCAGAUACUUGGCCGUACUCUGAAGGCCUCUAUGAGGGAACUCGGUCUUCUCAUCUUUUUCCUUUUUAUCGGUGUGGUGCUAUUUUCAUCGGCGGUAUACUUCGCGGAGGCCGGCUCCGAGAAUUCAUUCUUCAAGUCCAUUCCGGACGCGUUCUGGUGGGCCGUUGUCACGAUGACGACCGUGGGCUAUGGUGACAUGACGUAUGAUGCCCGUGGGAGUCUGGGGGAAAAUCGUUGGUUCCCUUUGUGCGAUCGCGGGUGUAUUGACGAUCGCGUUACCCGUCCCCGUCAUCGUCUCCAACUUCAACUACUUCUAUCACCGUGAGACUGACCAGGAAGAGAUGCAGUCACAGAACUUCAAUCACGUGACUAGCUGUCCGUAUCUCCCUGGCACGUUAGGUCAGCACAUGAAGAAGAGCUCGAUGUCGGAGUCGUCGUCGGAUAUAAUGGAGCUGGAAGAAGGCAUUCUACUGGCGCAACCAGAUAUGACGAAGAAGCCCAACUGCAACCCUCGCCACAAUAAUAAUAUUAAUCCAGCCUGCAUGAGCAUCGAGACUGACGUCUGACUACUAGUGAAGGAGACGGUGGCAGCGUGGUGGCCGAUGUUGGGACAGUUGUCGAAGAGCAGCUGUAACUCCCUACGGUGCCUAACGUAGACCUCCUUCAUAAUAAAAAAUCACACACAAACACACAAA